GAUGAAGAACGUAGUGAAAUGCGAUAAGUAGUGUGAAUUGCAGAAUUCAGUGAAUCAUCGAAUCUUUGAACGCACAUUGCGCCCUUUGGUAUUCCUUAGGGCAUGCCUGUUCGAGCGUCAUUUAAACCUUCAAGCUAAGCUUGGUGUUGGGUGACUGUCCGCUUCACGGCGGACUCGCCUCAAAAUUAUUGGCGGCCGGUACAUUGGCUUCGAGCGCAGCAGAAACGCGAACUCGGGCCCGUCGUAUUGGCUCCCAGAAGCUAUCUUCACAAUUUUGACCUCGGAUCAGGUAGGGAUACCCGCUGAACUUAAGCAUAUCAAAGCGGAGGA
rnacentral:misc_RNA from 1 species